UAGCUGCUAAUCCAGAACCUUUAGUUAAUUUCCCAUCUUAUUAAGGACUGUUAAAAUUGUUUUAACAAAGCCGUCCUUAUAUAUAUUAUGGUAAAUGCCUUUGUCUGAUGGUUUUCAACAGAGCACUUUGGGAAGGAGUGAAAGAAGUCCUGAGGAAAUCUGGAAGAUCUGUGGGGGAAUAGGAAAUUGAUAGGUUCGAGACUGGAAGGUUUCUUCAGUGAGAGGAAAGGAAGAUCUCAAGGACUGGGAGAGGAUUUAAAAUAAAAGGAAGUGCAUGGAAAGGAAAAUUCAGCAUCUGAAGGAGGACA